rnacentral:rRNA from 1 species
AGUGAACGCUGGCGGUAGGCCUAACACAUGCAAGUCGAACGGCAGCACAGUAAGAGCUUGCUCUUACGGGUGGCGAGUGGCGGACGGGUGAGGAAUACAUCGGAAUCUACUUUUUCGUGGGGGAUAACGUAGGGAAACUUACGCUAAUACCGCAUACGACCUACGGGUGAAAGCAGGGGAUCUUCGGACCUUGCGCGAUUGAAUGAGCCGAUGUCGGAUUAGCUAGUUGGCGGGGUAAAGGCCCACCAAGGCAACGAUCCGUAGCUGGUCUGAGAGGAUGAUCAGCCACACUGGAACUGAGACACGGUCCAGACUCCUACGGGAGGCAGCAGUGGGGAAUAUUGGACAAUGGGCGCAAGCCUGAUCCAGCCAUACCGCGUGGGUGAAGAAGGCCUUCGGGUUGUAAAGCCCUUUUGUUGGGAAAGAAAGGCAGCAGGUUAAUACCCCGCUGUUCUGACGGUACCCAAAGAAUAAGCACCGGCUAACUUCGUG